rnacentral:lncRNA from 1 species
CAGGUACCUUUCUUGUAAAUGGCUUGCCUGCAAAUGUACUAUUUGAUUCCGGAGCCAACUACUCCUUUGUGUCGCAUAAAUUUGGUGGGAAAUUAGCAUUGCCUGUAGAAAAACUUGAUAAUGCCCUGAUUGUAGAAGUUUCCAGUGGCAAAUUCGUACCUGUUAGUAAUCGUAUUAGGAACAUCGUCAUUGACCUAAACGGAAACGAAUUCCACUUGGAGCUAUUACCCAUAGAGUUAAACGGUUUCGACAUCGUUUUGGGUAUGGAUUGGCUUAGCACCAACGAUGCUGAGAUUCAAUGCCGAAAGAAGAUAGUAAGGGUGAACCCACCCGGAAAGGAAUCAUUUAUGGUGUACGGGGACAAACGUAGAGUGAAUUCUAGAAUCAUCUCCCUGAUGAAAGCCAGGAAAUGUUUGUCCAAAGGAUGUGCAUCAUACUUGCCAUUUGUAAUCGAUGCUAAGAAAGAAAAGAAAGAGGUGCAGAAUAUACCGGUUGUACGUGAUUAUCUGGAAGUCUUUCCCAAAGAUCUUCCCAGAUUACCACCUGAUAGACAAGUGGAGUUUCGUAUUGACUUGUUACCAGGAACAACACCGAUAGCAAAAGCACCAUACCGAUUAGCACCGACGGUGAUGAAGGAGCUCAUGACGCAACUUCAGGAGCUGUUGGACAACGGUUUCAUUCGACCUAGUUCAUCACCCUAGGGAGCUCCGGUGUUAUUCGUGAAGAAGAAGGACGGAAGUAUGAGAAUGUGUAUAGACUACCGAGAGCUGAAUAAGGCAACGGUGAAGAACAAGUAUCCAUUGCCGAGGAUCGAUGACCUAUUCGAUCAGCUGCAAGGUUCGAGCUACUUCUCAAAGAUCGAUCUUAGGUCAGGAUAUCAUCAGCUAAAGGUGAGAAAGCAGGAUAUUGAGAAGACUGCAUUCAGAACGAGAUAUGGACAUUACGAGUUCUUGGUUAUGUCAUUUGGACUAACCAAUGCCCCUGCAACAUUCAUGGAUUUGAUGAACAGGGUUUGUAAACCAUUCCUCGAUAAAUCUGUGAUAGUGUUCAUCGACGACAUUCUGAUCUACUCGAAAAGCCAAGAGGAGCAUGGCAAGCAUCUACGGGAAGUGUUGGAAGUGUUAAAGAAGGAGAAGCUUUACGCUAAGUUCUCCAAGUGUGAUUUUUGGAUCCGAGAAGUCCAAUUCUUGGGUCAUGUGGUUAACCAAGAAGGGAUAAUGGUUGACCCAGCAAAAAUCGAAGCUGUAAUGAAGUGGGAACGUCCAAAGAGUCCCACGGAGAUUCGAAGCUUUCUAGGAUUAGCCGGAUAUUAUCGACGAUUUAUCCAAGGCUUUUCUUCGAUAGCUGCUCCAUUAACAGCUUUGACUCAUAAAGGAGCUACGUAUACGUGGAGUGAGAAACACGAUGAGGCAUUCGAGAAGCUAAAGAAGAAGUUAUGUGAAGCACCGAUACUUUCUCUACCCGAUGGAGUCGAAGAUUUCGCGGUUUAUAGUGACGCUUCUGGAGUCGGGUUGGGUUGUGUUCUGACCCAAAGAGAAAAGGUGAUAGCAUACGCAUCUCGACAAUUGAAAGAGCACGAAAAGAACUACCCCACUCAUGAUCUGGAGUUGGCAGCGGUAGUUUUUGCCUUAAAGAUAUGGAGGCAUUACCUCUACGGCACGAAGUGCAAGCUCUUCACUGAUCAUAAGAGUCUCCAGUAUCUCUUUAAUCAGAAGGAGUUGAACAUGAGGCAACGACGCUGGCUAGAACUUCUCAAGGACUACGACUGUGAGAUACUUUACCACCCAGGUAAAGCAAAUAUUGUUGCUGAUGCUCUCAGUCGGAAAGUCAAUCUUGAAAGGAAAAGGCCAAGAGCGUUAAGAAUUGAAGUCGUCUCGACGAUUGUGGAAAGUAUCAGGAAAGCUCAAGAAGAAGCUUUAGAGAAAAAUGACCGAAAGGAAGAACGUUUGGGAAGAACGUUAGUGUUCGGUACAAACAGUCGAGGACUGAAGGUAUUCCAAGAUCGAAUUUGGGUACCUAAGACGGGAGGAAUAAGAGAUCUUCUGAUGGAAGAAGCACACAAGACCAUGUACUCGAUUCAUCCCGGUAGCACUAAAAUGUAUAGGGACCUAAAACCCUACUACUGGUGGCCGACGAUGAAGCUCGAUGUUGCGAAGUAUGUGGCCGAGUGCGUAACAUGUGCGAGGGUUAAGGCACAACAUCAGAAACCGUAUGGGAGUUUAGAACCUUUACCUGUACCCAUGGGUAAAUGGGAAGACAUCACCAUGGAUUUUGUGACUAAACUGCCCAGGACGAAGAACGGUCACGACAUGAUUUGGGUAGUCGUGGAUCGUUUCACCAAGAGUGCACACUUCAUAGCAGCCAACGAGAAGUGGUCUAUGGAUAAGCUCGCAAAUGCUUACGUGAAGGAAAUUGUAAGACUUCACGGUGUCCCUCUUACGAUUGUAUCAGAUCGUGAUAGUCGUUUCACGUCAAGGUUUUGGAGGAGUCUACAAGAGGAGUUAGGUACAAAGUUGUGUUUGAGUACUGCUUAUCAUCCGCAAACUGAUGGUCAGAGCGAAAGAACGAUUCAGACGCUGGAAGAUAUGCUGAGAGCAUGUACCCUCGAAUUCCAAGGGAAUUGGGACGAGCACUUACCUCUGGUAGAAUUUUCCUACAACAAUAGUUUUCACUCGAGCAUCAAGAUGGCUCCUUAUCAAGCCUUGUAUGGGCAGAAGUGUCGUACGCCGUCUUGUUGGCUUGAAGCCGGAGAGAAGCAGUUUAUGGGCCCCGAGAUAGUCCAUGAGACUGCUGAGAAGUUGAAGGUGAUUAGGGAAAGGAUGUUAGCAGCCCAGGAUCGUCAGAAGAGCUAUGCUGACAAGAAAAGACGACCGAUAACUUUCGAAGUUGGGGAUUCCGUUUUGCUUAAAGUCUCACCGUGGAAGGGACUUAUACGAUUUGGGAAACGAGGAAAGUUGAGUCCAAGGUUUAUUGGACCGUUCAAAGUUCUUCAGAAGAUAGGGAACCAAGCUUACAAGCUGGAAUUGCCCGAAGAACUCAAUGGUAUUCAUAACACCUUCCAUGUGUGUUAUUUGAGGAAAUUCACGGGAGAUGUUCCCGACAUAAUUCCAAUCUCAGAGUUAAGGAUGGAUGAAAAUAAAAGGUUGAUCGAAGAGCCUGAGGCAAUUGUUGACCGUAAGACUAAGAAGUUACGACGCAAGAUGGUCGACUUGGUGCUAGUCCGAUGGAAACAUUCGAAUGGGCCGAAUCUCACUUGGGAAACAGAGGAUGACAUGAUGAGUCGCUAUCCACAUCUGUUUGCUGAUGCAUGAUUCCGGGACGGAAUCAUCCUAAGGGGGAGAGAAUUGUAACGCCCGGGUUUCAGGGCUAAGCAUUUUUGUCAAUGUAAUAGUCUAGGUCAACUCUUGUAACUCUUUUUGAAGUAAUAAAGAUGAAAUAUUUGAGUAUUAUGUGAAUUAUAUGUGUUUAUUAUUUAAUUAUAAAUGUAUAAUUAAUAAAGAAUAAAAAUGAGCGUCAAAAUUAAAGUGUGAGAUAAUCCCGAUAUCUCUACAUAAAGUUGUAGAAUAUGUCUCAAGGUUUCCGUGCAUAUAAGGAACGCCGAAAUCCGAGUUAUAACGAAGAAGUUAUGACCCGUCGAAGUUUCACGACAGAACCGGCACGAUACCGGGAAGCGUGAAUAGUGAAUUUACGAUAGAGCGAGAUUUAGCCUUAGUGAUCUAAACGAAAGUCGUAGAAUAUGUUAAACUAAGAACAUCGAUAAAAAGAACGCCCAAAUCUGACUUCGUAUGAAGAAGUUAUGAGAUUUUAAACAGACCAAUCCUGUCCCGGCUUGUUAAAAAUAUAACUUUAAAAAUAAAGUCAAAAUUAGCCGACGGAGUCUAAACGAAAGUUGUAGAGUACGUCUUCACCUACGCGUGGAUAUAAAGAACGUCAAAAACGGAGUUCGUAUGAACGAGUUACAAAUUAUAAUAGCAUAUUUACGUAUUAAAAUAAAGUAUAAAUCAUGUAUACGUACACAUAUAUAUACAUAUGUAUAUAUCAUUAGAAAGGUAUCGACGAUGCGGUCAUUAUAAGACUAAUGUUGAGUUCUUUCGACAUUAGUUUAGUACAAAUAUCAUUAAAUCCAUUUAUAAUAGUAUUAUAGAGGGGUGUUUAGUUGUUUAUAUAACUAAAAGGUCAUUAAGUAAUUAUGGAGGGUAGUUUUUGAAAAUUCAAUUAGUAUAAAUAAGAGCCUUGGGCUCUCAUAUUUCUUGCACCAUUCUCUUGAUUCAAGAGUCUUUCUCUCCUUAUCCCCCGAGCAUUUCGGUCCCUCGUGAUUCGACUUCUCUUUCUGUAGCUUAGUAUAGUAAGGUGAGCGCUGAAGCGCUGCACGAAUCUUUCUUAGAAAGAUUCAGCGACGAAGUUCUGCCCCUGCAGAGCCCGACUCCUAGCUAAAACCCCCUUGUAAGUAAGUUAUGCUUACCUUAUUUUAAUAUAGCUUAUAUUUAAAAUUAGUAUUGUUAUUAUGAACUUAUAAUAAAUAUUUGAGCUAUUAUUAUAACUUAUAUAAGUGUCGUUAUAAUAUUUUUUUUAACUACUCGCGGUACGGGGAAUCUGGUUUAAAGGGCCGCAUAGGGUUGUUGGAUUUCAGAAGUGCUAUAUGCCAAAAUGGUCCUGCCCUCCGGUGUUUUAUGUCUGGCCCCUGUCUGUACAUAGUGGUUGGAAAAUAUUGUUUAACGCUUAUAUAAUAAUAAUAAUACUAAGACUAAUAGUUGGUCACGGUAAAUAUUAGACUAAAAUUUAGCGAUAAUAAUGCUAGGUUUCGUCGAAGGAAAAUAGAAUCGUUAGAAGCAAGCGCUGCCCGAUUUUGGAAUCAUCACCUUAACAAGUGAGUGCAUAGUUACUUUCAACUUACACAUAGAUAUGAAGUAUUUUAUAUAAAUUACGUGCUAUGUGUGCAUAUUAUCUGAAUACUUGCUAUCUAUGCUAGAUGAACGUUGUUAUACAUGUUUUCAAUGAUUUAAACUGUAUAUGUAUUUUAUAUCUACGAAAAUGUUGGGGUAAAACAUGGGUAGAUGCAAUAGGUGAUGUGUGAUAAAAUGAUGAGAGGCCUCGAUGUUGAUGUUGUUGAUUCUGUCAUCUAGCGGAGUAUGGAUGACGACCACGGACUCUUCUAGACAGUCCAGUGGAACACUAGCAGGCUCGCAACCUGUAGGUGUUUGUGAACGAUAUGUUCACCGGUGUACUCCAUCCCCCACAUGGUUGCCUUUAGGACAUUUAUUGCUGAGGAAUCCCCUUAGCAGUAGUGUCCGUCCCGAUGAUGAUCCUUAGGCUAGGUCCCUUAUGAUAGGUGUUUAGGGACGUAAAGUGAGGAUAACGGGAACGGGUAAUCGGGUUAUUGUUGAUCGAUGAAAUUAAUAAACUUAUUUAUUGUGGGUUGAAAACCCUAUGUGCUCACCAGGCUCCCAAGCCUGACCCACUCAGUUUUAUGUAUUACAGGUAGUGGCGCAUGAGCAUAGGUGUGAUGUUUUGGACGAGGGAUUACGGAUAUAGGCCUGUAGAUAUGAAAUAAUGUAGUAAGGCUUAUAUUGUACUGUUUAUGCUUUUGAUCUGUACGAACAUGACAUCCCGAGUCUUUUAAUGAAAUACAUUUCUAUGGAAAUGCUUUUGAUAAAUCUUUAUCAUAUUUUUGUUUUGGGACAAAUUCCGCAACACUUUCAUUUAAAAUGUAACUCUGAUUUUUAAACAAAGCAUAAACAAACCGGUCUUUUCUGGCCGUGAUUUUGGGGAUGUCACAGUUGGUAUCAGAGCAUUAGUUUAAGCGAACUAGGAAUUUGUAGGAUUUCUAGACUUAAACUUAGAAUGCUAAGCGAUGAUUGUGAGGUGUGAGCACUAGCUUAUUUUAGGAAUUGUGCCUAAAAUGCUUUUAUGUGCUAAAUGCUUUGUGCAUAAUAUGCUGUUAAUUGUUCGGAUCUAUGGUCUGUUGCCGACCGGAUCUGGAAACCUUAUGUGUUUAGGAUUCUAAACGUACGACUACGAUAUUAGAACUAGCAUGUAAACGUUUCGGAGUGAUAAGGACGAUUUAAAACGUCUAUCCUAAAUAAAGAUCUAAAUUCACCUUAUUCGGUGUAUAGAUCAAGAUGGCAAGGACCCGUAGCGGAAACGUGAACGCAAAUGGAGGUAGGAACCAACCCCCAGUGGUUCAGCAAAUACCUGUUGUUGAAGAAGUUGCACCUGAGCCAGUCACCAUGGCUGGAGUUCAAGCCAUGAUUCAGGCUAUGCUAGCUGAACAAAGGGAAGAAAUGAGACGGAUGCUCCACGAAAAUAGGGACGAACCUACCAUACAUGUUGAACCGACGGAGCCAGUUCCCGAGCCAUCUGAGGAAGGGAACUAUAGCCGCCAAGUGAGUCAAGUAGGGACUCAAGGUGAGCAAAAGGAUGGCCCAGAAGGGAGAAACAACAAGGAUGGGCGGAUGUACAAAAAUUUCUUGGGUGCGAAACCACCAAGUCUCUCAGGAAGCCCAAAGCCUGUUGAGAUUAUGGACUGGAUCUCCGAGAUGGAGAUGGUGUUUGAGAGCUGCGACUGCAGCGAGAAGCAGAAGACUGUCUUCGCUGUGAGACAAUUGAAAACUGGAGUCUUGAGCUGGUGGAAGCUAUUGGCAGAUACAAUGCCACGGGGAGAAGCUCUGAAAAUGUCAUGGGAUGAGUUCUUGGAACAACUGAAGGCGCAGUACUGUUCAGAGAUAGACCUGAUUGAUCUGAACAAUGAGUUCCAAAAUUUGAAGAAGGGGAGAAUGAGCAUCGAUGACUAUGCUGCUGCAUUUACGGAAAAGAUGAAGUUGUUUCCAUACCUAGUGCCAACCGAACUUUCCAAAAUUGAGAAAUUCGCAAACGGACUGCCGGCUGACUUUGGCCCAACAGUCAAGAUGGCAACCACUCUGAAAUCAGCUGUUCGAGCAGCUAAGAACGUGGAGACCCAACAAAAGGAAAGAGGUCUGGAGAGGGCUGAGGUUGGUGAGAAACGGAAGUUCAAUGGAUCCUCGAAGUCCAACAAGAAGAGUAGAUUCUCGAAGUCUGGUUCGAGGGGAGGAGGAUCAGAAGCGAAGUGGUGUGACAAGUGCAAGAAGAAGCACUCUGGGAAGUGUGACGGAGGGGUCACUUGUUACAAGUGCGGAAAGCCUGGGCACUACGCCAAUGAAUGCACCCUCAACCAGAAAGCCUGUUAUGGGUGCAAUGAAGAAGGGCACAUUUUGAAGGACUGCCCGAAGAAGAAGGAGACAGGAAGACCCAACAUACCACCGAAGCCGAAGGCGAGAGCCUUCCAGAUGACGCUCGAGGCUGCAAAGGAGGCAGCAGACGUCGCUUCAGGUACCUUUCUUGUAAAUGGUUUGCCUGCAAAUAUACUAUUUGAUUCCGGAGCCAACUACUCCUUUGUGUCGCAUAAAUUUGGUGGGAAAUUAGCAUUGCCUGUAGAAAAACUAGAUAAUGCCCUGAUUGUAGAAGUUGCCAGUGGCAAAUUCGUACCUGUUAGUAAUCGUAUUAGGAACAUCGUCAUUGACCUAAACGGAAACGAAUUCCACGAAGAGCUAUUACCCAUAGAGUUAAACGGUUUCGACAUCGUUUUGGGUAUGGAUUGGCUUAGCGCCAACGAUGCUGAGAUUCAAUGCCGAAAGAAGAUAGUAAAGGUAAACCCACCCGGAAAAGAAUCAUUUAUGGUGUAUGGGGACAAACGCAGAGUGAAUUCUGGAAUCAUCUCCCUGAUGAAAGCCAGGAAAUGUUUGUCCAAAGGAUGUGCAUCAUACUUGGCAUUCGUAAUCGAUGCCAAGAAGGAGAAGAAAGAGGUGCAGAAUAUACCGGUUGUGUGUGAUUAUCCGGAAGUCUUUCCCGAAGAUCUUCCCGGAUUACCACCUGAUAGGCAAGUGGAGUUUCGUAUAGACU